AGGGGGAAAAUCAAGGCUGAGGCCGAAGUUAAAAUCAAGACUGAAGCUGAAGUUAAAACUGAGGCCUAAUCGAAGCUAGAAUCAAAGCUGAGCUAAGAUCAAGUUUGAAGACAAGCUGAGGGGGAAAUCAAGGCCGAAGCCAAAGUUAAAAUUCAAGCUGAGGUUGAAGUUAAAAUCAAGACUGAAACCGAAGUUAAAAUUAAGACUGAUCUAAAGUCCAAAAUCAGACCAAUUCAAAGCCAGAUCCAAGUGAUCCGAAGUC
rnacentral:lncRNA from 1 species